rnacentral:rRNA from 1 species
CAGUAGCCGCGGUAACACGGAGGGUGCAAGCGUUAAUCGGAAUUACUGGGCGUAAAGCGCACGCAGGCGGUCUGACAAGUCAGAUGUGAAAUCCCCGGGCUUAACCUGGGAACUGCAUUUGAAACUGUCAGGCUGGAGUCUUGUAGAGGGGGGUGGAAUUCCAGGUGUAGCGGUGAAAUGCGUAGAGAUCUGGAGGAAUACCGGUGGCGAAGGCGGCCCCCUGGACAAAGAUUGACGCUCAGGUGCGAAAGCGUGGGGAGCAAACAGGAUUAGAGACCCCUGUAGUCCCUGUCUCUUAUAC